UACGUAGGGGGCAAGCGUUGUCCGGAUUUAUUGAGCGUAAAGGGCACGCAGGCGGUCUUGCGCGUUUCGAGUGACAGGUGGUGGCUUAACUGCCACAGGCCUCGGAAAACGGCAAGACUUGAGGACUUCAGAGGGACGCGGAAUUCCAGGUGGAGCGGUGAAAUGCGUAGAGAUCUGGAAGAACACCAAAGGCGAAGGCAGCGUUCUGGGAAGUAUCUGACGCUCAGGUGCGAAAGCCAGGGGAGCGAACGGG
rnacentral:rRNA from 1 species